rnacentral:rRNA from 1 species
UACGUAGGGGGCUAGCGUUGUUCGGAAUUACUGGGCGUAAAGCGCACGUAGGCGGCUUUGUAAGUUAGAGGUGAAAGCCCAGGGCUCAACCCUGGAAUUGCCUUUAAGACUGCAUCGCUUGAACAUCGGAGAGGUAAGUGGAAUUCCGAGUGUAGAGGUGAAAUUCGUAGAUAUUCGGAAGAACACCAGUGGCGAAGGCGACUUACUGGACGAUUGUUGACGCUGAGGUGCGAAAGCGUGGGGAGCAAACAGG